AAAGGUGAAUACUGAGUGGGAAGGUGCAGGACAAGGCAGAUUUGCCCUCAGCCAGCUGGAUUCUGCACAGGAAAUGGGCUCCUUGCCGGGCCUUCUCUGGUGGUGGAAAAUUGGUCACAGGAGUUGCAGGCCACUGUUGGAACAUUUAUGACUGAGGCCCUGCCUUACAGGAAGUGAACUUGCUGCUGCAAUGCUUCAGGUGGCUGGGGAGAUGGGAAGCAUUCUUACUGCCUUCGAUAAUUGAAGUUUCUGGACACCUCCGGUGAUGACUUCUAUCUUACCGUGAGGCAAUCAAAGAAUAUGGCAUUUGAUAAUACUUCUAAUGGCUUAUGAAUAUGGAAAUCUGUAUGAGUUCCUUGUUAGAUAAAUGAGGACAUAAUUAUUUAUCACUUGUGUUCCUAAAACUGCCCUUGAGAUACCUUUUAUAUCAGAUGCAGAUAUACAAUACUAGCAACAUCAGUAAUGAGGCAUUGAGGAAAAAAGUAAUUUCCCUGUUACUGUGCUACUGCAUUAUUUUAAAUGCU